CUCUCAUGCGACCGUCUUCUACAUCGAUAUUAUCACGCCUUACGUCACCAUGAACGAACGAAGAGCAGUCUUCGUGAUGCGGGUGUUAGCACUUGCCAGUGGUACUCUCAUGACGUUGUUUGCAAUCGCAGUGCCGUACAUUGGAGCAGCUGCUAAAUUAUUCAUGUCCCUGUACUCCAGUGCUUCGGGACCUUUCGCUGGGCUUGUGAUACUUGCCAUCUCAUCGCCUUGGGUCAACGCAAAG